AAGUGAUCUACCCCUGUAUCUGGGAUAACUGUGGGAAACUGCAGCUAAUACCGGAUACGUUCAUGUUCUUGCGAGUAUAUGAAGAAAGAUGGCCUCUGAUUCAAGCUAUUGUACAGGGAGGAGCUUGCGUACCAUUAGCUAGUUGGUAGGGUAAUGGCCUACCAAGGCAACGAUGGUUAGCGGGUCUGAGAGGAUGAUCCGCCACACUGGAACUGAAACACGGACCAGACUCCUACGGGAGGCAGCAGUGAGGAAUAUUGCGCAAUGGGGGAAACCCUGACGCAGCGACGCCGCGUGGAUGAUGAAGGCCUUCGGGUCGUAAAAUCCUGUCAGAUGGGAAGAAGUGUGUGGUGGUUAAUACCCGCCACAUUUGACGGUACCAUCAGAGGAAGCACCGGCUAACUCCGUGCCAGCAGCCGCGGUAAUACGGAGGGUGCAAGCGUUGUUCGGAAUUACUGGGCGUAAAGCGCGCGUAGGCGGCUUGUUAAGUCAGAUGUGAAAGCCCACGGCUCAACCGUGGACGUGCAUUUGA
rnacentral:rRNA from 1 species